AGUGAACGCUGGCGGCGUGCCUAAUACAUGCAAGUCGAACGGAGGUUAAGUAGCUUGCUAUUUAAUCUUAGUGGCGCACGGGUGAGUAAUAUAUAGCUAACUUGCCCAUUACUAAGGGACAACAGUUGGAAACGACUGCUAAUACCUUAUACUCCGUAUCUAUAUAAGUAGAUACGGGAAAGUUUUUCGGUAAUGGAUAGGGCUAUAUCGUAUCAGCUAGUUGGUAAGGUAAUGGCUUACCAAGGCUAUGACGCGUAACUGGUCUGAGGGGAUGAUCAGUCACACUGGAACUGAGACACGGUCCAGACUCCUACGGGAGGCAGCAGUAGGGAAUAUUGCUCAAUGGGGGAAACCCUGAAGCAGCAACGCCGCGUGGAGGAUGACACUUUUCGGAGCGUAAACUCCUUUUCUUGGGAAAGAAUUAUGACGGUACCCAAGGAAUAAGCACCGGCUAACUCCGUG
rnacentral:rRNA from 1 species